CGCGGGAGUCGGGCGGACGUAGCACUCGCCAACUUGGUCAGGUCCUGACGGAAGCAGCCACAACGAAUUCGCUGCGGGUCGUUCCGGCUCCCACCUCU
rnacentral:SRP_RNA from 1 species